rnacentral:rRNA from 1 species
UACGGGGGGGGAGCAAGCGUUGUUCGGAUUUACUGGGCGUAAAGGGCGCGUAGGCGGUCAGCACAAGUCAAUUGUGAAUCUCCGAGCUUAACUCGGAAAGGUCAACUGAAACUGUGCGACUAGAGUGCGGAAGGGGGCAACUGGGAAUUCUUGGUGUAGCGGUGAAAUGCGUAGAUAUCAAGAGGGAACACCUGCGGCGAAGGCGGGUUGCUGGGCCGACACUGACGCUGAAGCGCGAAAAGCCAGGGGAGCGAACGGGG